rnacentral:rRNA from 1 species
UACGUAGGGUGCGAGCGUUAAUCGGAAUUACUGGGCGUAAAGUGUGCGCAGGCGGCCGCGCAAGUCGAGUGUGAAAGCCCCGGGCUUAACUUGGGAAUUGCGCUGGAAACUACGUGGCUGGAGUGUGGCAGAGGAAGGUGGAAUUCCGCGUGUAGCAGUGAAAUGCGUAGAUAUGCGGAGGAACACCGAUGGCGAAGGCAGUCCCCUGGGCCUGCACUGACACUCAUGCACGAAAGCGUGGGGAGCAAACAGG